rnacentral:misc_RNA from 1 species
CAGCGAGUGCGGCGCUCCGAUAUGACGCCACCAACUUGCAGAUGGUCUCGGCGGUCGCCGCGCGAUCUUGGGCCUCGCGAUCACUCAGCGCGCGAAGAGCGGCGCUUUGUUCAUUCUGGAUGGCGAUGCGGGCGCUGUGUUGAAGCGGUCUUGGCAACAUCUCGACGGCGGCCAGUUUUGCGCCAAAGAGCAUGGUGAUCGCGGUGUGCUCCGAACGAUACGAGCUAACCCGAGUGGCCUCCUUGAAUGCGGGCAGCCGC